CACCACAACAGGUGGAGCCUGCGGUUAAUCGGACUCAACGCCGGGAAACUCACCAGAUAAGACAGCUGAAUGAUAGUCGGGCUGAAGACUCUACUUGACUAGCUGAGAGGAGGUGCAUGGCCGUCGUCAGUUCGUACUGUGAAGCAUCCUGUUAAGUCAGGCAACGAGCGAGACCCACGCCAACAGUUGCCAGCUCGUCCUCCGGGAUGGUGGGGACACUGUUGGGACCGCCUCUGCUAAAGAGGAGGAAGGAAUGGGCAACGGUAGGUCAGCAUGCCCCGAAUUAUCUGGGCUACACGCGGGCUGCAAUGGGUGGGACAAUGGGUAUCGACACCGAAAGGUGAAGGCAAUCUCCUAAACCCAUCCGUAGUUCGGAUUGUGGGCUGCAACUCGCCCACAUGAAGCUGGAAUCUGUAGUAAUCGUGUCUCAAAAUGGCACGGUGAAUAUGUCCCUGCUCCUU
rnacentral:rRNA from 1 species